rnacentral:rRNA from 1 species
AUUGAACGCUGGCGGCAGGCCUAACACAUGCAAGUCGAACGAGUGGCGGACGGGUGAGUAAUGUCUGGGAAACUGCCUGAUGGAGGGGGAUAACUACUGGAAACGGUAGCUAAUACCGCAUACCAUCGGAUGUGCCCAGAUGGGAUUAGCUAGUAGGUGGGGUAACGGCUCACCUAGGCGACGAUCCCGAGCUGGUCUGAGAGGAUGACCAGCAGCACUGGAGCUGAGACACGGUCCAGACUCCUACGGGGGGCAGCAGUGGGGAAUAUUGCACGAUGGGCGCAAGCCUGAUGCAGCCAUGCCGCGUGUAUGAAGAAGGCCUUCGGGUUGUAAAGUACUUUCAGCGGGGAGGCGUUCCCCACAGAAUAAGCACCGGCUAACUUCGUGCCAGCAGCCGCGGUAAUUAUAC